GAUGAACGCUGGCGGCGUGCCUAAUACAUGCAAGUCGAGCGAACAGAUGAGGAGCUUGCUCCUCUGACGUUAGCGGCGGACGGGUGAGUAACACGUGGAUAACCUACCUAUAAGACUGGGAUAACUUCGGGAAACCGGAGCUAAUACCGGAUAAUAUAUUGAACCGCAUGGUUCAAUAGUGAAAGACGGUUUUGCUGUCACUUAUAGAUGGAUCCGCGCCGCAUUAGCUAGUUGGUAAGGUAACGGCUUACCAAGGCAACGAUGCGUAGACGACCUGAGAGGGUGAUCGGCCACACUGGAACGGAGACACGGUCCAGACUCCUACGGGAGGCAGCAGUAGGGAAUCUUCCGCAAUGGGCGAAAGCCUGACGGAGCAACGCCGCGUGAGUGAUGAAGGUCUUCGGAUCGUAAAACUCUGUUAUUAGGGAAGAACAAAUGUGUAAGUAACUAUGCACGUCUUGACGGUACCUAAUCAGAAAGCCACGGCUAACUACGUG
rnacentral:rRNA from 1 species